rnacentral:lncRNA from 1 species
AUCGACGUGCUACGUAAAGAGAGUGACGAGUCAUAUACAUUUGGCAAGAAACCAUGAAGCUGCCUACAGCCGUCUCGGUGGCAUAAGAACACAAGAAAUUGUGUUAAUUAAUCAAAGCUAUAAAUAACGCUCGCAUGCCUGUGCACUUCUCCAUCACCACCACUGGGUCUUCAGACCAUUAGCUUUAUCUACUCCAGAGCGCAGAAGAACCCGAUCGACACCAUGAGGGUGUUGCUCGUUGCCCUCGCUCUCCUGGCUCUCGCUGCGAGCGCCACCUCCACGCAUACAAGCGGCGGCUGCGGCUGCCAGCCACCGCCGCCGGUUCAUCUACCGCCGCCGGUGCAUCUGCCACCUCCGGUUCACCUGCCACCUCCGGUGCAUCUCCCACCGCCGGUCCACCUGCCGCCGCCGGUCCACCUGCCACCGCCGGUCCAUGUGCCGCCGCCGGUUCAUCUGCCGCCGCCACCAUGCCACUACCCUACUCAACCGCCCCGGCCUCAGCCUCAUCCCCAGCCACACCCAUGCCCGUGCCAACAGCCGCAUCCAAGCCCGUGCCAGCUGCAGGGAACCUGCGGCGUUGGCAGCAC